GACGAACGCUGGCGGCGUGCUUAACACAUGCACGUCGAACGGAAAGGCCUCUUUCGGGGGGUACUCGAGUGGCGAACGGGUGAGUAACACGUGAGUAACCUGCCCUUGACUUUGGGAUAACUUCAGGAAACUGGGGCUAAUACCGGAUAGGAGCUCCUGCUGCAUGGUGGGGGUUGGAAAGUUUCGGCGGUUGGGGAUGGACUCGCGGCUUAUCAGCUUGUUGGUGGGGUAGUGGCUUACCAAGGCUUUGACGGGUAGCCGGCCUGAGAGGGUGACCGGCCACAUUGGGACUGAGAUACGGCCCAGACUCCUACGGGAGGCAGCAGUGGGGAAUAUUGCACAAUGGGUGGAAGCCUGAUGCAGCAACGCCGUGUGCGGGAUGACGGCCUUCGGGUUGUAAACCGCUUUCGCUCAUGACGAAGCUUUGUGUGACGGUAGUGGGUAAAGAAGCACCGGCUAACUACGUG
rnacentral:rRNA from 1 species